UCGCGAAUUUUUCACAAUGGGCGCAAGCCUGAUGAAGCCACGCCGCGUGCGGGAUGAAGGCCCUCUGGGUUGUAAACCGCUGUCAGGGAAGGGGAACCGUGUAGCGUUAACAGCGCUGCAUCUGACUGCUUUCCAAAGGAAGCCCCGGCAAAACAUGUGCCAGCAGCCGCGGUAAUACAUGUGGGGCAAGCGUUGUUCGGAAUUACUGGGCAUAAAGGGUGCGUAGGUGGCGUUGUAAGUCAGGGGUGAAAUCCGACGGCCCAACCGUCGAACUGCCUUUGAUACUGCGAUGCUUGAGUGCGUGAGGGGUGACCGGAACGAGUGGUGUAGCGGUGAAAUGCGUAGAUAUCACUCGGAAGGCCAAAGGCGAAGGCAGGUCACUGGUACGCAACUGACACUGAGGCACGAAAGCGUGGGGAGCAAACAGG
rnacentral:rRNA from 1 species